CGUUUUGUGGGGUGCUCGAGUGGCGAACGGGUGAGUAACACGUGAGUAACCUGCCCUUGACUUUGGGAUAACUUCAGGAAACUGGGGCUAAUACCGGAUAGGAGCUCCUGCUGCAUGGUGGGGGUUGGAAAGUUUCGGCGGUUGGGGAUGGACUCGCGGCUUAUCAGCUUGUUGGUGGGGUAGUGGCUUACCAAGGCUUUGACGGGUAGCCGGCCUGAGGGGGUGACCGGCCACAUUGGGACUGAGAUACGGCCCAG
rnacentral:rRNA from 1 species